AUUGAACGCUGGCGGCAUGCCUUACACAUGCAAGUCGAACGGCAGCGCGGGAGCAAUCCUGGCGGCGAGUGGCGAACGGGUGAGUAAUAUAUCGGAACGUGCCCAGUAGUGGGGGAUAGCCCGGCGAAAGCCGGAUUAAUACCGCAUGAGACCUGAGGGUGAAAGCGGGGGAUCGCAAGACCUCGCGCUACUGGAGCGGCCGAUAUCAGAUUAGCUAGUUGGUGGGGUAAAGGCCUACCAAGGCAACGAUCUGUAGUUGGUCUGAGAGGACGACCAGCCACACUGGGACUGAGACACGGCCCAGACUCCUACGGGAGGCAGCAGUGGGGAAUUUUGGACAAUGGGCGCAAGCCUGAUCCAGCAAUGCCGCGUGCAGG
rnacentral:rRNA from 1 species